CACAGAAACUGAACAGAAGGCUGAGAAGCCAGAAGGAGUCAGAGUUGAGGACUCUCGGGGACUUAUGAAACAAUCCUGACUCCUCAAAGCCUGGCUGUGGAUACAGGCUAAAAGCUAUUGAGAACUUGUUGCCUAGCAACGUGAGACCAGUUAAUAAAGGAGUUGGAGGCUUUUCAUUUCCCAGACUGCAGACAGUUGUGAGCCUCUUUGUGGUUGCUGGGAAUCGAACCUGGGUGCUCUCAGCCACUGCGCCAAUUCUCCAGCCCACAUCCAAGAGAACAGAUCCCUCCACAUUAUGCCUUCUGGCUUGGGCAGGCAGGACUCAACCAGGAAUUUCUGGUGCCAGGUGGCCAGGCACCAUUAUGACAAAUCCAAACAACCUUAACUUCGGAGACAGAGAAGCUUGUUAUGACUGAAGGAAGUAUAUGUUGUGUUUUCAAACACCUUUGGGCACUAGAAUGCCUUGGUAGGAAUCCACUUGGAGGAAGAGGAUGGAGAGGACCUGGCAUAUGCACUGCUGAGCUCAGUGGCUUUCCUGUUUCAGAUGGUAAGCCGAGGACUAAUGAUGUCAGGCCUGACAAGAAGUUAAGAAGUGCCAUCUUGGAAGCUCAAUUAAAGAGAUAUCUAGAUUAAAUGAAUCUAAGAGAGUGAGGUUUACUACCUACAAAGGCGGUCUCUUGGGAUGGGUCAGCAUGGCAAGAGUAGGACAAAUCCUCAAAAGUGACAUGUGGCCAUGCAAAGACAAAACAGCCUUCACCAGUCUCCAGUAGCCUUCUAGUUGGUGUAAAUCUAGACUAACACUUUCUGUCAAUCACAACUGUGUGUGAGUUGAUGAUUUAUGAGUACCACACAACCCUGACAAAAUAAAUGCCUGAGAAGAAGUGGACGAAGCUUUACAUCAAUAACUAGAAAACACAAGAGAUUUGGGGGCUGGAGAUGUAUCUCAUUUGGUACAGUUCUUGCCUGGUAUGCAUGUAGCCCUGCAUUCAACCCCCAGUACCAAAUAAACUUGGCAUGAUGGCACAUGCCCAUAAUCUCACCACUUGAAAAGUGAAGGUUGGAAGAUGAAAGUUCAAGGUUGUCCUCUGCUACAUUGUUAGUUUUAGGCCAAUCUUGGCUACUUGAGACCUUGCCCUCAAAGAAAUAAAUAGAUAAAAUAGAGGGAAUGGGGAAAUGGCUCAGUGGUUAAAGGCUCAUAUUGCUCCUCCAGCACAGCUGACUGUAACUCCACUUCUAGCAGAUCCCACACUGUCUCCUGACCUCUGCAGACACCCACAUAUAUGUGGCACAUGUGGGUGCCCCCACACACAUCAUUUUUUUACCUUAAAAAGCUAAUUAAUGGAGUAAAUUCAGAUGUGGUAGUACAAAGAUCAUUUAUGAAGGAGUUUGUACAUUUGCUGUAAUAAUAAAAAAAUAGCAAAUGCCUAGUUCCUUAAUAAAUUGACAUAACUGCAGAAACAGUCAUCAUAGACAGUAGACAUCACAAUCAGUAUCAUAGGUUGGUAUAGGGGUCUUGACAUGAAUGACUACAGCCAUGUUGAGUUAUAAUUGACAUGAUUGUCUCUGAGCAACACUGUGGGAUUUCUCAACAUAAUAUGGAUCAAUCAAGGAUCUUCCAACUUGCCUGAGAUCACUUUUGUCCUAGGAUUUCAUAAGCCCCUCCAUCUGACCCCCAAAAUUGCACUCUCUGCAAUUUCAGAUCUGUCUUUUUCCCCUGAGACUUUCCUGAACCUUGUAGAUGUCUUUCAUGCAUCCAGACCAGUUUGCUUUGUAAUGAUUGACAUUUUUGAUUUCAGAAAAAUUCAGAACAUGGAGAAGCAAUUGUCCUCCUUACUUUGUGCUUUUAAAAUUUCUAUAUCCUGAGUACUAUGCAUGGGUCCUCAUGCCAUGACACGUAUGUGGGGGUUGGAGAACAAUUCUAUGGAACUAGUUCUGUUCCCCUACUUUUUCAUGUGCUUAAGCGAUCCAACUUAGGCAUCAGGCUAGCUCUGCAAGUUCUUUAUGGCUGAGCCAUCUCACCAGACCAAGAUGGGUUCAACUUGAACACACAAUAAUUCUUUUAUGUAUCUUUACCUGGAAGUGGGGCACUGAGACAUAAAAUUAAGAUGAGGUCAUUAGGGUGAACUAUAACCCAAUAUUUUUAUGAGAAGAGACAGAAACUUUCAUUUGUAGGGAGAAAGCAGUGUGACUCAAAUUGAAAGACUGGGAUGAGACAAUGAAAUGCCUGGAGCUAAAAGAGGAUGGGGCAUGCACAGGAAGAAUCUCAUAGCGUGAUCUCAGCAAUGUGGUUGCAGGCUUGUAGCCUUUGAACUUUUUGAGAAUUAAACUUUGGUUGUUUGUUUCUAGCAGGGAGUUUGUAGUCCUCAGUUGUCACAAGCCUGGAACACUAACAAUCAAUUUCAAGGACUAAUCCAUUUUCCUAUAAUUCAGAGGAUUAUAUGUCAGAACCACAGACAAGUUACAGAAGAAAGGAAAUCAUUCCCCAACAGCAUGAGAUGAGGCCCAAGAGUUCAAUUACAUAAACCUACUAGGGACAUUUCACAUCCGUAUCUCAACAGUGAAUAUACUAGGACACCUGUUGUCUGUCCCUGAUGAAACAGUCAGCCCUUGGGUAAAGUUAAAGGAGCUGCAAAGAGUCAUCAUUGACUCUGCCCUGAGCUUGUGCUUCACAAAGAUGGGAUUUGAAAUCUGUGGGUGAGGGAAAUGCUCAGCCUCCUAGAGAGAAAAUAGUCCUCACCACCCUGCGCCCUGCCAUCACCUACAAUAUUCACAAACUGUUACCCAGAGUGAGAUGGAAAUCUCUGAGGAAAAGAAAAAGAGGGAAAUAAGUUCUCAGGACCUUGAUGGAAACAACAGCAAGAAAAUUUUCAGACAGUUUCCUAGCAACAAAAAUCAAUGUACUUGGGUACUGUGCUGCCAUUCCUUGAAAACAUUGACUCCCAAAGAGUCUAAAUGAUAAAGAAAGAAAAGCAAGAAUGAAUUUCCUGGUGGCUAACAUCGUAUUCAACUCUCUACCUUAGCAAAAGGAAAUUACAAAACACCUGCAAGUUUAGUCAUCCUUAUAUUUUCAAUGGUCAAAACCAAAACGUGGCCCUGAAAUUGUAAAAGGGAUAUGCUGUUAUUUGUGGCUUUAGGGUUAUGUCCACUCACAACUCUGUGAUAUUGGAAGCAAACUAACCCUGGAAGAGAGGAUCACCUAAGACCUCAUUGUGUGACAGCCAAGAGGAAUGUGACAUUCAAGAAAUCUCAGAAUGAAUCUGUGAUAGUGAGAACAUAUAAGAGCACGCAGACCAUAAAAUGUUAUCCAUUCUUCUCUGUGCACUCGUGAGAUGCUACAGGUCUAUGUGAUUCACACACUCCCAUGCACUGUAUGUGUAAUGGUGUGUGUGUGUGUGUGUGUGUGUGUGUGUGUGUGUGUGUGUGUACAUACAUGUUCAUGUAUGUAUAGGUGAAUGCAUGUGCACUUGGGUAGAGAGCAAAGGUUGACACUGGGUGUCUUCUUCAAUCACUCUUUACCUUUGUAGACACAAACAUGCAUACAUGCACACAUACACAUAUACACAUAUGUAUGCAUGUGUAUACACAGGCAUAAACCACAGAGAUACAGUAAUAAUAGAAGAAGAAAAAUAAGACAACAAUAAAACAUUCUUGAAACAUGUGUGCCUGAUUAGAAUACACAGUGAAGCCACUGGCUAACUCACUACUAAUUCUCAGAAGGCGUGUAUGUCUGUUUAAUUUUUUAAAAAUGGGAUUCCUGUCAUUUAAUAUCUUUCCCCUUUGCCCCAUGAAGAUGGCCAUUUUUCUUUUAUGAAGUAAACUUUUUUGAUUACUCACAUCUCUCACAUUUCCUCUAUUCACUCACCUGUCGAAGGUCACUUUGUCUUCAUCCUGAAUAUGGUGUAAGAUGGAGUGCACUGCUCUUUAAGGUCAGGUCCGAUUGUUUCGGAGGUAAAGCAAGCAAUGAGACCUACAAUGCUCUAUGAAAUGGCUGCCGCUGCAUCUCACCAGGCAAGUGCAGCUUACUCCAUCAGAUUCAUUAAUCCUUAGGAUAAUUUCUUAACCUGAAAUACUCAGAGUUUAAAUUGCCAGGGUUUUGAAAUUGAUUUUAUUUAGGGACCUCUACUAAGGUUCAUUAAACAACCCAGUGACUGAGAGAAAAGUGAGCAAAAUUUGAGAAAAUAAAAAAAUAAAAUUGCAGUUUAAAAGGCAACUAAAACUGAGGGGCUUGGUUUGAUGACAUAAAGUUUUUUUUCUAUUGUUUUUAUGCCAUGAGGCAGGCUGAAAGGUUUCCAUUAUGGGUACAUAACCUGCUGAAGGGGGCUAUUACAUUCUCUUCUUGAUCUGACAGGUUACCCCAUACCCUACUCCCACAGAACUAGUAUGGGCAAUGACAACCACUCUCUCUGGAAAUCUGUCUUUUUCUGUUUUCAUGUCUAAAAACCUCUGUUCUAAGAAAUAAUCCCUUUAUAUCUAAAGGUUGAUGUGAAAUCUGACAGUGCUUGGAAACUAAUGAGACGGUAUAUUCAUUUUGCAUUGACUUUAAUAUUUAAUUUCCACGAAAAAUUUCUACCUGACAGAAUGAGUUAGUAGGCACCUCCUGUGGUGUCAUGUUACAUUUACAGGCAAGGAUGAUAGUUCCAAUCAAUACAAACAAACACAAAGGUGAUUUUGUAAAAUCUUAUGAGAAUGGUUGGUUGUAGGACAAAACUUAAGAUAAAUAGCUAUGUGUCUAGCGAUCAAAACUUGUAAAUGGAAUAAGUAAAUAAGCGAUAGCUGCUCAAAUCACUUCUGGAAACAAGAAAAUAAUGCUGUAAGAGUGGGGGACAGGGCAAGUGUACCUUCCUGCAGGCCAGGGAUGAGUCUUCAGCUGAACAAGGUAACUGGCACUGUGACCCUUGACUCUGCAUCCCUUCACUCACUCCACACUUGCUGCUUGCCAUUCUGACCCCGCUUUCUGGCUGUCAGAGGAGAGAGAUUAUACCCAGCAACUUCCUAUGAGUCAGCCAGUGAGUCACAGGGAAGGAUCUAGGGAAGCCAUUACAGCCUGAACUGAUGCCCAUAGCCUCGUGCCUGGCCUGCAGGAAGGUGCACUUGUCAUGUCCCUCUACCCCAUGUUCUUGCUCACCAGGAGAAGCCAAAUCACAGCACAGUAAUGGAUGAAUGAGUGACAUCAAGAUGGAAGAUAAAAUUGGACAAGGAGCUUCAGAAUUAAUUAGAAAAGAAGGUUAAAUAGUUUUGCUAACUCCCAGAGCUUGGAGAAAUGCCAGCUCUUCAAAUGGUGGCACCAGAAUCUCUUGGUCUCAUGUCUGCCCAAAUACAGGUUGUGCCACCUCCAAGCCAACCUAUCAGUCUGUUCUUGGGAUUUACAAAAGGACAAAGGUUUGUGCCUCCUGGCAUUGAUGGUGGAACACAUCUGAUGACCAGUCACUGGUGUGCUUUAAGGUUUGUUUUUAGGUCCUGCCAGGAGUGUUCAAUUCAUGUCUGUCACUGGCAUCAAAGGAUGGUCCUCCCUGACUGGGGAGCAUCACCCUCUUUGAUUUGCACGACACCCUGAAGACGAAGCCAACGCCGAGGGCAGAAUGGCAAACACAGUACAGCGAGGGAAGCUCUGGAUGCUUUUCAGCCAGCCAAAUCCUCGAAUCAAACCUGGCAUGAGUGGAGAGACAGAUGUCACUGUCAGAUUGCUCCAUCAUCCUUGAUGUGACCUACCACGAGGUGUUCCGAUUUCGUUUCUAAAAGCCUGGAUAAACUCAACAAGGUUGGACAGGGAAAAGGAGAAAAUAUUCUUACGGCUUGGCAAGGCCAGUGAUGUACACUCCACCUAGAAACAGACCUGGGAUCUCCAUGGUUGACGAGAGCAUCUGGCUGCCGUCUACAGGAAGCUGGGAGCGUGCCAGCUUUAAUAAUCACAGUCAGCUUGCCCACCUUUCCAUACCGAUCCAGUCAGAUGACGCACAAUCACUUCUGUUCUGAAGCAUAAAUGCACGAGUGCUAGGAAAUUCUGUGAGGCCACCAUCUCCCUCUAGAAGUGGGAACAGUUUAUGUGUAUGGCAAAGAAAAUAAUUGCACAGUGAAUUCACAACAAUGUCUUCACAACGACAAGUUAGGAGAUGAUAAAACUGAUAAUUGCUACUCAAGCAAAUUUAAGUAUUUUAAUUCAUAUAACACUCAUUGUCUUUCUAGUUUAUUAAAUUAGAAAAUACUUAUUUUAAUUUGGUCUAAUAGUUUGAUUUUGUGUUAUUGUAAUUUGAUAUUCUAAGACAAAUAUGAUUUGUGACCUAUAAAGUCCACACAAAAAAGCUUUUUGUCUGGUAUGAGUUGUAUUUUUUUAAAUUUCUAUGAUUAGCUUUAUUAUCAGUCUACCAUAGAUGGGCAUGGAAGCCCCAUAACCCCUACCCCCUAAAAGAAAGCUGAAUAACCAAUGCUAGGACAAGGUGUUGCAUGAGCUGCCCUUAAAGGAGUAAAAACAAAAAGAAAACUGAAUGUUACAUGAAAAAAAUCCCAGAGGAAUAGAAAAAAGCCCCUAACAGUGGAAUCACAAUAAUUACCACAUAGCCUGGCACCUGGGAGGUUAAAACUACAAGUCGCAGGGCAGAAACAAAACAUCCACAAUACAAAAUAAGAACCCCCAAAAGAAGAUAGGAAGCUGUCAUCCCAAGAUGCCAGAGUGAGCUGAGAGAGGAACCAUGACACACUCUCAGAAAUCUGGUCACUUGUCAUCCGUGCUUUGGUGCCUUGGAGAGAGACUGAGAUUCUUCAAGGCUUCCUCAGUUUCAGAGAACCUGGGUUUGGUGUUUCGGGAGGACUUCUCAGGGUCCUGCCCAGUUGCCCUUGCCACUCUUGUUACCAUGAGGAAAUUGCACAACAUUUUGCCUCGAGGAUAAAAGGCAUAGGGGCAAGCACAGUCAUCCAUUCCUCUGCAUCUCGUUGUAACUGGCACCGUGUCACUGUGCCUCCCCUUCUCUCCAUGGGCCUUAGACAGCUGCUUGACCUUCAUCUUGUUGGUCUUAAUGACUGUUUCUUUCUGAGUCUGUCCAGUCAGGACCUGAUAAGGCUUGUGCCUUGCUCAGGACUGCGACCCAGCUCUGAACUUCUCCAUUUGGUAGACUCCAGCACCACAGUCUUCAGUGAGGUCUGGUCUGCAGCAGUGGACACAUACCGCCGUUUCUUCAACACCCACCCUCAACCUAGGGUUACCACGCAGUUCUCUAAUUUACUGUUGUAUCUUGUAAAGUUUAUAUGAUUCUUUAUGAGAAAAUGUUUUAAUUUCUGUGUGUAGCAUGAAAAAUAAAAGACCCAGAGACAGAUGUUGGGGUUCAAGCUUCAAGCUGAAGAUCAGAAAAGAAAAGUAUCUGGCCACUAGCUGUUAACUCUACUUCAUACUGAAAGGGCAAUCCUGUCUCCACCAAACCUCAGACUGUAAUCCCAGAGUGCUCUGCUCUCCUCAGUGUGGCUGGAGAGAAUCCUGAGACUGAAUGUCUUCCUAUCCUCAAUGUGGGUGGAGAAUGAAUACCAGCUCUGAGACCUGGCUCCUGUCUUCUAUGCAUGUAAUCCCCGGUGCUGGGAUCAAAGGCAUGAGCUCUGUUACUCUUCACUCUUGUGUAGGCCAUGGUGGCCUUGAACUAAUAGAUAUUCAUCUACCUCUUACUCAUGAGUCCUAGGAUUAGAGAUGUGUACCACCACUGCCUGAUCUCUAAAGCUUGAGGCUGACUUUAUUUUCUGAAUCUUCAGGCAAGCUUUAAUAAAUCACAAAUGAUAUAUCACUACAUCUGUGUGAUUUCUUUUACCUGUUUUAGUCAUCAUACAUUUAAAUAUAUCAGAUAUACUGGCCACUGAAAUUAUAGAGGAAAAGUAAUAUUAGGACCAAGUAAGAUGCCAUUAAAUGUUCGUAGAGAAAUUAAUAUUGUCAACCAAAACACUACUAAGAUUAAAUAAU